rnacentral:rRNA from 1 species
UACGGAGGAUGCGAGUGUUAUCCGGAAUCACUGGGCGUAAAGCGUCUGUAGGUUGUUUGCUAAGUCUGCUGUUAAAGCUUGAAGCUCAACUUCAAAAAUGCAGCGGAAACUAGUAGACUUGAGUGUGGUAGGGUAGAGGGAAUUUCCAGUGAAGUGGUGAAAUGCGUAGAUAUUGGAAAGACCACCAAUGGCGAAGGCACUCUACUGGGCCACUACUGACACUGAGAGACGAAAGCUAGGGAGCAAAUGGG